rnacentral:rRNA from 1 species
UACGUAGGGUGCAAGCGUUAAUCGGAAUUACUGGGCGUAAAGCGUGCGCAGGCGGUUAUGUAAGACAGGUGUGAAAUCCCCGGGCUAACCUGGGAACUGCAUUUGUGACUGCAUAGCUAGAGUACGGUAGAGGGGGAUGGAAUUCCGCGUGUAGCAGUGAAAUGCGUAGAUAUGCGGAGGAACACCGAUGGCGAAGGCAAUCCCCUGGACCUGUACUGACGCUCAUGCACGAA